UAUAGGAAUCUAAGAAGCACGUAAUAAACAUAAGACUAAUGUACUAAUUAUUAAUGUACUAAUUACGUAUGGUGCUCUUUGGCUGCUUCUUCCAUUUUACAUAAUGAAAGAAAUCCAAGAACAUAAAAUUAAAAUAUAUGAAUUUCCAGAAACAGAUGAUGAAGAAGAAAAUAAACUUGUUAAAAAGAUAAAGCACCGUUUACCUCUUGCUGUGGUGGGUAGUAAUACUAUCAUUGAAGUUAAUGGCAAAAGGGUCAGAGGAAGGCAGUAUCCUUGGAGUGUUGCUGAAGAGACAAGGUCUUGCUAUGUUGCCCAACUGGCCUCAAAC